GGACGACGCUGGCGGCGUGCCUAAUACAUGCAAGUUGAACGCAACAAAGACACCAGAGCUUGCUCUACCGUCUUUGUUGAGUAGCGAACGGGUGAGUAACGCGUGGGUAACCUGCCUUAUAGCGGGGGAUAACUAUUGGAAACGAUAGCUAAUACCGCAUAACAAUAGAGAUUGCAUAAUCUUUAUUUGAAAGUGCCAACUGGUACACUAUGAGAUGGACCCGCGUUGUAUUAGCUAGUUGGUAGUGUAAUGGACUACCAAGGCGAUGAUACAUAGCCGACCUGAGAGGGUGAUCGGCCACAUUGGGACUGAGACACGACCCAAACUCCUACGGGAGGCAGCAGUAGGGAAUCUUCGGCAAUGGACGAAAGUCUGACCGAGCAACGCCGCGUGAGUGAAGAAGGUUUUCGGAUCGUAAAACUCUGUUGUUAGAGAAGAAUGUUGAUUAGAGUGGAAAAUUAAUCAAGUGACGGUAUCUAACCAGAAAGGGACGGCUAACUACGUG
rnacentral:rRNA from 1 species